rfam:Oryza barthii chromosome 7, whole genome shotgun sequence.
CAAGUUGAUGAAGAAGAUAUUGUCGCUUACAUGAUCGCCGGACUCGAUUCUGAUUAUAAGGCGGUGGUGUCGGCCCUCGCCACCCAGAAGGAACAAGUCAUCAUGGCUGAGCUCUGUGGGCAGCUGCUAGGGUUUGAAG